rfam:Triticum aestivum genome assembly, contig: Triticum_aestivum_CS42_TGACv1_scaffold_049609_1BS
CUGAUACUCCCUCUGUCCGGAAAUACGUGUCCUCAAAAUGAAUAUAAUGAAUGUAUCUAUAACUAAAAUAAGUCUAGAUACAACCAUUUCGAGGACAAGUAUUUUCGAACGGAGGGAGUAGUUC